GACAGAGGGUGCAAACGUUGCUCGGAAUCAUUGGGCGUAAAGCGCGUGUAGGCGGCUUGUUACGUCGGGUGUGAAAGCCCAGGGCUCAACCCUGGCAGUGCACCCGAAACGGGGAAGCUGGAGUACUGGAGAGGCGAGUGGAAUUCCUGGUGUAGAGGUGAAAUUCGUAGAUAUCAGGAGGAACACCGGUGGCGAAGGCGGCUCGCUGGGCCAUUCCUGACGCUGAGACGCGAAAGCUAGGGGAGCGAACAGGAU
rnacentral:rRNA from 1 species